rnacentral:rRNA from 1 species
CCUAACACAUGCAAGUCGAACGGAGCUGAGAGGAGCUUGCUUUUCUCAGCUUAGUGGCGAACGGGUGAGUAACGCGUGAGUAACCUGCCCUGGAGUGGGGGACAACAGUUGGAAACGACUGCUAAUACCGCAUAAGCCCACGGCCCGGCAUCGGGCUGCGGGAAAAGGAUUUAUUCGCUUCAGGAUGGACUCGCGUCCAAUUAGCUAGUUGGUGAGGUAACGGCCCACCAAGGCGACGAUUGGUAGCCGGACUGAGAGGUUGAACGGCCACAUUGGGACUGAGACACGGCCCAGACUCCUACGGGAGGCAGCAGUGGGGGAUAUUGCACAAUGGGGGAAACCCUGAUGCAGCGACGCCGCGUGGAGGAAGAAGGUUUUCGGAUUGUAAACUCCUGUCGUUAGGGACGAUAAUGACGGUACCUAACAAGAAAGCACCGGCUAACUACGUGCCAGCAGCCGCGGUAAAACGUAGGGUGCAAGCGUUGUCCGGAAUUACUGGGUGUAAAGGGAGCGCAGGCGGACCGGCAAGUUGGAAGUGAAAACUAUGGGCUCAACCCAUAAAUUGCUUUCAAAACUGCUGGCCUUGAGUAGUGCAGAGGUAGGUGGAAUUCCCGGUGUAGCGGUGGAAUGCGUAGAUAUCGGGAGGAACACCAGUGGCGAAGGCGACCUACUGGGCACCAACUGACGCUGAGGCUCGAAAGCAUGGGUAGCAAACAGGAUUAGAUACCCUGGUAGUCCAUGCCGUAAACGAUGAUUACUAGGUGUUGGAGGAUUGACCCCUUCAGUGCCGCAGUUAACACAAUAAGUAAUCCACCUGGGGAGUACGACCGCAAGGUUGAAACUCAAAUGAAUUGACGG